rnacentral:rRNA from 1 species
UACAGAGGGGGCAAGCGUUGUUCGGAAUUACUGGGCGUAAAGGGCGCGUAGGCGGCCUGUUAAGUCGAACGUGAAAUCCCCGGGCUCAACCCGGGAACUGCGUCCGAUACUGGCAGGCUUGAAUCCGGGAGAGGGAUGCGGAAUUCCAGGUGUGGCGGUGAAAUGCGUAGAUAUCUGGAGGAACACCGGUGGCGAAGGCGGCAUCCUGGACCGGUAUUGACGCUGAGGCGCGAAAGCCAGGGGAGCAAACGGG